rnacentral:lncRNA from 1 species
UUUUUUAUUGUAGUUUAUUUACAAUGUUCUGUCAAUUUCUGCUGUACACAAAGUGACCCAAUUACACAUAUAUAUGAUACAUAUAUAUAUAUAUAUAUAUAUGUAUUCUUUUUUUCACAUUAUUCUUCAUUAUGUCCCAUCACAAGUGAUCAGAUAUAUUUUCCUCGGGCUAUAUAGCAGAAUCUCAUUGCUUAUCUAUUCCAAAUGUAAUUAUUUCCCUCUACUAACCCCAAGCUCCCAGUCCCUCCCAAUGCCUCCCCCUCCCUCUUGGCAAUCACAAGACUAUUCUCCAUGUCCAUGAGUUUGUUUCUUUUCUUCAGAUGGGUUCAUUUGUGCCAUGUAUUAGAUUCUAAAUAUAAAUUAUAUGGUAUUUGUCCUCCUUCUGACUUACCUCACUUAGUAUGAGAAUCUCUAGCUAUAUCCAUGUUGCUGCAAAUGGAUUAUUUUGUUCUUUUUUAUGGCUGAGUACUAUUUCAUUGUGUAUAUGUACCACAUCUUAAUUCAUUCAUCUGUCAUUGGACAUUUAGGUUAUUUCCAUGUCUUGGCUAUUGUAAAUAGUGCUGCAGUGAACAUAGGAGUGCGUGUAUAUUUUUCAAUGAAUGCUUUGUCUGGAUAUAUGUCCAGGAGUGGGAUUGCUGGAUCAUAUAGUAGUUGUAUAUUUAGUUUUCUAAGGUAUAUCCAUACUGUUUUCCAUAGUGUGGUUGUACCAAUUUACAUUCCACUGACAGUGGAAGAGGGUUCCCUUUUCUCCACACCCUCUCCAGCAUUUAUUAUUUGUAGACUUACUAAUGAUGGCCAUUCUAACCAGUGUGAGAUGGCACCUCAAAGUAGUUUUGAUUUGCAUUUUUCUAAUAAUUAGUGAUGUUAAACAUUUUUUCAUGUGCUUGUUGGCCAUCUGUAUGUUCUCUUUAGAGAAAUGUCUAUUCAGGUCUUCUGCUCAUUUUUCAGUUGGGUUGUUUGUUUUUUUGCUGUUGAGUUGUAUGAGUUGUUUGUAUAUUUUGGAGAUUAAGCCCUUGUUGGUUGCAUUGUUUGAAGCUAUUUUCUCCCAUUCCACAGGUUGUAAUAGACAUUAUUUUUAAGAGCAAUUAUAGGUUCAGAGAAGAAUGAGUUGAAGGACAGAGAUUUCCCAUUUACUCAUUGUCUCCAAUCAUGCAUAGCCUCCCCAUUAUCAACAUCUCUCACCAGAGUGACGCUUUUGUUACAGUAGAGGAACUGGCAUGAAACACACCCAGACGCCAUGCUUUUCUUUAACAGUAACAUAGCAACGCUAUUAGUUGGAUCUUUAUGAAUUUGGGGAAUAUGUUUGGACUGCAUGCUGUGUAAAUGAGGUAGUCUAAUAUGUAUCUAAUAACCAAUGAAAUCUUACAUCCUGUUUGCUUAAUACAAGAAAAGUUUCUCACUCAUUCGAUGUAAACCACACCACAGUUGAUGGAUGGGAUUGCAGGAGUUGGUGCUCCACUCCAUAUGGUCUCUCAGAGAUUUGAGAUGCUGUGUGAAUUCUCUGACAUCUCAGAAGAUGGUCUGUGGUCACUAUUGCAGAGAAGAGAGAUCUGUAGGCAUCAUACAAAAUAGGAAGUCAGUUUUGAUUUUUAUCCCAUUUGCCAGAUUCAUCACAUGGAACAUGAGAAGAUGUCAGCUUGUUCUAUACCUAGGGAGAGGAAAAUAUGUUGAACAUAUAGUAUUAUCUCUGUGAUACACAGACUUUUGAGAUUUAUAUCAGUGAUACAUUCAAAGAUAUGGAUGAGAUUUUAAUAGAGAACAGUCUGAGGCAUGAGAUUCUGUUGUGACUGCUGACCUCAUGAGGCAGGCUAUAUAUUUUAACAUGACAUAAAAAUAAUAACAAUUAAUAAUAUAACCACUGUAUUUAAAAGUAUGUGAACAAUCAUCCUUAAGUGUAUCCUUUUGUUUUUAUUCUAGUUGCCUCAUGUCAACAACAUGUUUAGCCAUUAGUUACUGGACUUACAGUUCAGUACCAAAAAGAAUUCAUAAACUUUGCUAGAUGGAUUUUUUUUUUUUAAGUACAGUUGAUUUACCGUGUUGUGCCAUUUUCUGUUGCACAGUAAAAUGACCCAAUUUCCUAUAUUAUCUUCCAUCAUGGUAUAUCCCAAGACGUAUAUUAUACUUUCCUUUUCUAUAUUCCUUUUCCUAUAUCAUCUUUUUCCUGUACUCCUUUUCCUAUAUUAUCUUCCAUCAUGGUCUAUCCCAAGAGACACUAUAAUAUCCUGUGCUAUAAUAUAGAACCUCAUUGCUCAUAUGUUCUAAAUGUAAUAGUUUGCAGCUAGAUGGAUUUUUAAAUCUCUCUCUCAUGUGCAUGUUUUUGCUCUCUCACUUGUUUCCUAUCUUUGCCUCUUUCUGUAAUGUUGCAAUGGAUAUAUACAUUGAAGACUGAAAAAUAGACACUAAUCUGUUAAGAGUGAACCCAGAAUAAUGAGAUAGUCAAAAAAGGAUCUUAAUAAAUACUUUUCUGUAUUUUACAAAUAUAGCACAAAUGAUUUUACUCUUUUCAAUUCAGAGAGAAAUCACUAAAAUAAAAUUUAGAUGGGACUAUUUAAUUUAUAUGGUAUUACAACCAUAACUAGUUUUCAGAAGAUCAACCUGUCUGCAAUGAAAGGAAAAGGUGAAAGUGUGUAUUAACCUAUGUUAAAUUAAUUAAACAAAUAGACCAUUAGCCUGAGCUGGCUCUAAUGCAUGGCAGCCUAUGUAUGCAAACCAAAAUCUAAGACUGUAAAUGCCUCAAGUUUACGAAAUUGGAACCUAUGGACAACCAAUCACAGUCAACUAGACUUUAAGCUAUAGUCAAUCAGUAAUGUCCUUAAUUUGCUUCUGCUUUUUCUCUGUGAGUCUUUCCCCCAGCUCCUAUAUGCAGAGAGUUCCUAACCACUGGAGUUACCCAAUUCCAAUCAGUUUUUAAUUUGUCUUAGUUAAUCUUUUAACAUCUGUCUCUGUCAGAAAAUAUACCAAUGUGAAUUUCAUAUACAUCUAGAGUGGCAAAGACAAAUUAAUACACUCAGACAUUUCCUAUACUUUCCUCAGUCUUCCAUGUGCCUGACCUGGCAAAUGAAAAAAUUUGUAAAGUUAUAUUUUUUAACUUGAAGAAAUAUUGGAGUAUUUUAGGAAUCAAGAAAAUAUCUUCAAGAUUUGCUUUUGAGACUUGGCUGAAAACUUGAAUGUGUUGAAUUAUAUAAACUUUUGGUCUACAAAUCUGAAUGUUUUGGCACCAUAAAAUGGGUAAGAUAAAGUAAACAAAAUCUCUUUUCCUAAAAACGUUAAAUGGGAACAAACUGGCUAUUAGUGUGAAAAAAUUCUCAGUGAUAUGCUUUCUUUCUACUCAAAAUUGUCAUGAAUAUUAUCUCUGUCUAUGUUAUUAAUUGAAUUGAAUUAUUAGAUGUAUUGAUUAAUUAGAGCUAUGUAAUGUUACUUUUGGCUUUUAUUUCAAAAGCACAGAAUCAUGAGAAGUAGAAAGGCAUUUAAAGUAUAAAAAUUAGCAGGGAAAGGUCACCUUCCAUUAUCUAAUAUAUUUUGUUGCCAAAGCAGUAAAAAUAUUUCUUUGAACAUGAGCACAGUGGAUUCUAUUCUCAUAUAUUCUGUUAAAAUAUCCUAGAGAGUAUUAGAAUAUCUUUAAACUCAUUAAAGCUAGUUACUUUUUGGCAACAUGUUUCUGGUUUGCUUUAUGGAGAAAACUAAGUUCAUGUUUAAAAUAUGAGUAGGAAACUAAUUUUUAUGAGAUCAAGAAUUAUAAAUCCUGACAAACUUUGGCCAUCUUUCGAAGUAAUUUACAUGCACUCAGAGAUGUUGUUGUUGUUUUUAAGUCAGUCAGGAAGUCUUACUGAUCUUUGUGCUACAUGCAAGAUCAUACACAAGUUUCUAUCAGAAAAUUGGUAUUACACUUAGAAAUUUAUUCUAUUUUUGAACCAUUCUCCUUUUCAAAAUUAACACCUACUACCUGGGAUAUUUCAGCCUUCAAAUCAAUAAAAUAUAUAGCAAUCAUAUACUAUAUAAUAAUUCUUUUUUUGAUUCUAUAAUCAAAAAACUUAAGAGCAACUCUUCUCAAAAGAAAGAUGAAUUGAGAGUGAUGAGGUGUGCAUAGAAGAGGGAGAGGAGCAGGAGAUGGCUCUCAGGUAAGCAGAGAAAAAUAGAAUACUUAAUGUCUUAGGAUAUACACAGACUUGGAUUUUGACACGUUAGGAAAAAACUGCCUAAUUUUAUUACCCAUGAGUUUUUUCUCUUUUGCCUUUUAAAUUUAAAGUGUAUGCUAAAUAUUCUCUAAAAUAAAACAUUCAGUCUCUAGCUACAUCAUGGCUAUUUUACUCUCAACAAUAUUAUUUGCAUAGCUUUAUAUAUAUUUUCAGAAGUCAUAAUCUUUCAAAAGAGACAAUUUUUAUUCAUGGCAGAAAUUUAGAAACUUGAAUUAUGAAUUUAAAAAUUAUCUAUGUGAAAUCUAUUGAAAAAAGUCUGGAAGAGUAGAGUUGAUUCACCUUAGGAAUAGUGAUGCAUUAAAGAAAAAGCAGUAAUCAAAAUUACUUGCUGUUUGCUCAUUCCUUUAGUACUUUAUAGGUACUUUGGAAAAUACGUGAAUCCUUUAUAUAAAUAAUUAAUGUACCAUUUAGCAAAACACUAAAAAAAAAAAAAAUUUUUUUUUUUGGCUGCACAUGCAGCAUGUGAAAAUCCCUGGGCCAGCGAUCAAGCUGUGUCACAGCACCUACUCAAGCCACUGCAGUGACAACCCAGAUCCUUAACCUGCUG